CCUACGGGAGGCAGCAGUGAGGAAUAUUGGUCAAUGGACGGAAGUCUGACCCAGCCAUGCCGCGUGCAGGAAGACGGCUCUAUGAGUUGUAAACUGCUUUUGUACAAGGGUAAACCUGAAUACUUGCAUUCAGCUGAGCGUACUGUACGAAUAAGGCUCGACCAACUCCGUGCCAGCAGCCGCGGUCAUACGGAGGAUCCAAGCGUUAUCCGGAUUUAUUGGGUUUAAAGGGUGGGUAGGCGGAUUGAUAAGUUAGAGGUGAAAUGUCCGGGCUUAACCCGGGUACUGCCUCUAAUACUGUUGAUCUAGAGAGUAGAUGCGGUAGGCGGAAUGUAUGGUGUAGCGGUGAAAUGCUUAGAGAUCAUACAGAACACCGAUUGCGAAGGCAGCUUACCAAUCUAUAUCUGACGUUGAGGCACGAAAGCGUGGGGAGCAAACAGGAUUAGAUACCCCUGUAGUC
rnacentral:rRNA from 1 species